ensembl:lncRNA
UAGAUAGAUAGAUAGAUAGAUAGAUAGAUAGAUAGAUAGAUAGAUAGAUAGAUAGAUAGAUAGAUAGAUAGAGAGCAACAGACAGACAGAGAGAUAGAUAGAGAGCAACAGACAGACAGAGAGAUAGAUAGGGAGCAACAGAGAGAGAGAGAGAUAGAUAGAUAGGGAGCAACAGAGAGAGAGAGAGAGAUAGAUAGGGAACAACAGAGAGAGAGAGAGAGCAACAGAGAGAGAGAGCAACAGACAGACAUAGAUAGAUAGAGAGCAACAGACAGACAGAGAGAUAGAUAGAGAGCAACAGACAGACAGAGAGAUAGAUAGGGAGCAACAGAGAGAGAGAGAGAGAGAUAGAUAGGGAGCAACAGAGAGAGAGAGAGAGAUAGAUAGGGAGCAACAGAGAGAUAGAUAGGGAGCAACAGACAGACAGAGAGAUAGAUAGAGAGCAACAGACAGAGAGAGAGAUAGAUAGGGAGCAACAGAGAGAGAGAGAGAGAUAGAUAGGGAGCAACAGAGAGAGAGAUAGAUAGGGAGCAACAGAGAGAUAGAUAGGGAGCAACAGACAGACAGAGAUAGAUAGAGAGCAACAGACAGAGAGAGAGAUAGAUAGGGAGCAACAGAGAGAGAGAGAGAUAGAUAGGGAGCAACAGAGAGAGAGAGAUAGAUAGAGAGCAACAGAGAGAGAGAGAUAGAUAGGGAGCAACAGAGAGAUAGAUAGGGAGCAACAGACAGACAGAGAGAUAGAUAGAGAGCAACAGACAGAGAGAGAGAUAGUGUCCUUGUGUCCUUUAACCAUUUGUACAUUGUUAAAACACUGUUUAAAUAUAUAAUAUGACAUUUGUAAUGUCUUUACUGUUUUGAAACUUCUGUAUGUGUAAUGUUUACUGUUAAUUUUUGUUGUUUUUCACUUUAUAUAUUCACUUUGUAUGUUGUCUACCUCACUUGCUUUGGCAAUGUUAAUACAUGUUUCCCAUGCCAAUAAAGCCCUUGAAUUGAAUUGAAUUGAAUUGAUAGAUAGGGAGCAACAGAGAGAGAGAGAGAUAGAUAGAGAGCAACAGAGAGAGAGAUAGAUAGAGA